UUGCUCGCUUGGGCAGCACAUACACUAAAUCUAGAUGGACACAGAGAAGAUUAGCAUGGUUCCUGUACAGGAUGACAUGCAAAUUCGUGGAGCACUCGGUAUUUUU